UCUUAUGUUUUUGUUUGUUUUAAAAGGAAACAGCGAAUGAAGUGAGAAAAUCCUGGAGUGGGUUUAGUAGCUUGAACAACUGGGUUGUAAAAGAUUAUUACAGGUUGGUGAAUUCUGUGAAUUCCAUGGAGCCCCAAAUUCAGAAUCUUUCUGACGAGCAGUUGAGAGCAAAAACUCUAGAGUUCCGUCGCCGUUUGAGAGAAGGAGAGACACUAGCUCAUAUUCAAGCUG
rnacentral:misc_RNA from 1 species